AGCGGUCGACUAUAACCCCUAGCCUUCCAAGCUAACGACGCGGGUUCGAUUCCCGCUAUCCGCUU
rnacentral:tRNA from 1 species